UACGGCCGUAUCACGCUGAAAACACCGGUUCUCAUACGAUCAACAAAGUCAAGCAACGUCGAACCUGAUCAGUACUUAGAUGAGUGACCACUUGGGAGUACCAGGUGUUGUAA